GACGAACGCUGGCGGCGUGCUUAACACAUGCAAGUCGAACGGAAAGGCCCUGCUUUUGUGGGGUGCUCGAGUGGCGAACGGGUGAGUAACACGUGAGUAACCUGCCCUUGACUUUGGGAUAACUUCAGGAAACUGGGGCUAAUACCGGAUAGGAGCUCCUGCUGCAUGGUGGGGGUUGGAAAGUUUCGGCGGUUGGGGAUGGACUCGCGGCUUAUCAGCUUGUUGGUGGGGUAGUGGCUUACCAAGGCUUUGACGGGUAGCCGGCCUGAGAGGGUGACCGGCCACAUUGAGACUGAGAUACGGCCCAGACUCCUACGGGAGGCAGCAGUGGGGAAUAUUGCACAAUGGGCGGAAGCCUGAUGCAGCAACGCCGCGUGCGGGAUGACGGCCUUCGGGUUGUAAACCGCUUUCGCCUGUGACGAAGCGUGGGUGACGGUAAUGGGUAAAGAAGCACCGGCUAACUACGUG
rnacentral:rRNA from 1 species